UAACGAAUCUUCCGCAAUGCACGAAAGUGUGACGGAGCGACGCCGCGUGUGGGACGAAGUCCUUCGGGAUGUAAACCACUGUCAGGGGUUAGAAAGUUCUGAUCAACCCCAGAGGAAGGCACGGCUAACUCUGUGCCAGCAGCCGCGGUAAGACAGAGGUGCCAAGCGUUAGGCGGAAUCACUGGGCUUAAAGCGUGUGUAGGUGGACUGGUAAGUACCUUGUGAAAUCCCACGGCUCAACCGUGGAACUGCUGGGUAUACUGCUGGUCUUGAGCCAUCUAGGGGUCAGCGGAACAAAUGGUGGAGCGGUGAAAUGCGUAGAUAUCAUUUGGAACGCCAAUGGUGAAAACAACUGACUGGGGAUGUGCUGACACUGAGACACGAAAGCUAGGGGAGCAAACGGGAUUAGAUACCCCCGUAGUCC
rnacentral:rRNA from 1 species